GGCUUCUUGAUCCUAUGUGUUGUAUUGAGUGUUGGUCACUGGUCUUUGGGAAGCUUGGACAGAAGUGGGGCAGCCAUGGAGCUGCUGACUGGGACUGGCCUGUGGCCCGUGGUCAUAGUCACAGUCAUCUUCAUAUUACUGGUGGACAUGUUGCACCGGUGCCAGCGCUGGACUUCUUGCUGCCCACCAGACCCUGUGCCAUGGCCUGUGCUGGGUAACCUGCUGCAGGUGGACCUGGAUAACAUGCCAUAUAACUUGUACAAGCUUCACAACCGCUAUGGUGACGUGUUCAGCCUGCAGAUGGGCUGGAACCACAUGGCCGUGAUCAACGGACUGAAGGUGAUACAGGAAGUGUUGGUGACCUGUGGAGAGGACACUGCUGACCGCCCUGAAAUGCCCAUCUUUCCACACCUAGGCUAUGGGCAAAAAGCUAAAGGCAAAGGCUGUGUGGGGGCAGAGAUGGCAUCAAAGCCAGACAAGGGGGGACAGUGAGCAAAGGAAGGUCAGAUCAUGAUGCAGGUGGUAAUGUAGUUAAGCAUUGCAGCAGAAAGUCACAGAAAUCCAUUGUGGAGCCUCCUGAGCAUGGUGGAGGGUGGUAGAGACAUGUACUGGAGGAAGGGUGAGGUAUGGAGGACACCGACAAAGAAGAGAAAUGAAGGUGGGAGGGGGCACCAAAGCCAGGUGUCCUUGGUUUUACACAGAUGUGUCUGCAGGUGUGGUCCUUGCUCCUUAUGGGCCUGAGUGGAAAGAGCAGAGGUGAUUCUCUGCGUCGACCCUGUGCAACUUCAGCCUGGGCAAGAAAUCACUGGAGCAGUGGGUGAUGGAAGAGGUUGGACACCUCUUUGAUGUCUUCACUGCCCAUGCUGAGGAGGCUGUAGACAAGAGAUUUGGAAAGAACACAUCUAGAAGUGUCCACCACAGUAAUAGGAGCCUGGAGAUUGACAUACAGCAAAAGGAAGUGAGAAGCUGACCAAGGUCAGGGCUUCUAGAAGCUGAGACCCUGGCCCUCUGCCCACAUGGAACAUCUGUGAGAUUUUCCAGGGUUGGCUGACAAAGUCUUCCCUGGGCAAAAGACAUUUCUCAUAAUGGUGGAUAAGCUGGUGACUGAGCACAAGAGGACCUGGAACUCGGACCAGCCGCCUCGAGACCUGACUGAUGCCUUUAUGGCUGAGAUGGAGAAGGCAAAGGGAAACCCUGAGAGUAGCUUCAAUGAUGCAAAUCUAUGUCUGGUUGUCCUUGACCUGCUGGGUGCUGCAACUGUGACCACCUCAACCACACUGUCCUGGGCCCUGCUGCUUAUGAUCCUGCAUCCGGAUGUGCAGUGUGAGCCUGGCUGGGGCUGUCAAGAAAGGAGGAGGAGGGUAGAGGCAAACUCCUUAAACUUACUUGGGACACUUGUAGAUCCCAGCAUUGAGUUAACCCAGACUGCAGUAAGUAUGGUUGCCUUAUUUCUCCCAUGGACCCAGCCCUUAACAGAGAGGUAGUGGAUGGACAAGGGGCACCCACUGAAGCAUCUUAACUGAUGGGAAAAUGUCCUUCCAGGCCAAGUACAACAGGAAAUCGAUGAGGUCAUUUGGUAUGUGUGGCUUCCAGAGAUGGCAGACCAGGUCUGCAUGCCCUUCACCAAUGCUGUCAUUCAUGAGGGCAUGACUCUCAUCUCCAACCUGUUCCGUGCUGAAGGAUGAGACUGUCUGGGAGAAGCCCCUUCGCUUCCAUCCUGAACACUUCCUGGAUGCCCAGGGCCACUUUGUGAAGCCUGAGGCCUUCAUGCCAUUCUCAGCAGGUGCCUCUAGGGUGCCUUCCUGCCUAUCUUUCCCUAGGGUGCCUUGGAGGGUGGAGCACCAAUCAGGUCCCAGACUGAGCCCUCUUCUACACAUAGGCCACAGAUCAUGCCUGGGGGAGCCCCUGGCCCUCAUGGAGCUCUUCCUCUUCUUCACCUGCCUCCUGCAGCGCUUUAGCUUCUCAAUGCCAGCUGGACAAUCCCUUCCCAGUGAUUAUGGCAUCUAUACAAUGCCAGUUACUCCAGCACCUACCAGCUCUGUGCAGUGGUUUGCUAGCAGGGGCAGUGGCUCCAGCCAUCAUCACAGAUUGUUCUGACUGAUGUCCAAUAAACAAGUUUUGUGUCUGAAUCUCA
rnacentral:lncRNA from 1 species